rnacentral:rRNA from 1 species
UACGUAGGGGGCUAGCGUUGUCCGGAAUCAUUGGGCGUAAAGAGCGUGUAGCGGCCCGGUAAGUCCGCUGUAAAAGUCAAAGGCUCAACCUUUGAAUGUCAGUGGAUACUGCCGGGCUAGAGUCCGGAAGAGGCGAGUGGAACUCCUGGUGUAGCGGUGGAAUGCGCAGAUAUCAGGAGGAACACCGAUGGCGAAGGCAGGUCUCUGGGCCACUACUGACGCUGAGAAGCGAAAGCAUGGGGAGCGAACAGG